GAUGAACGCUGGCGGCGUGCCUAACACAUGCAAGUCGAACGGCAGCGAGGAGUGCUUGCACUCUGUCGGCGAGUGGCGAACGGCUGAGUAACGCGUAGGAACGUACCCCAAAGUGAGGGAUAAGCCCGAGAAAUCGGGUCUAAUACCGCAUAUGAUCUUCGGAUUAAAGCAUUUAUGCGCUUUGGGAACGGCCUGCGUCGGAUUAGGUUGUUGGUGAGGUAAUGGCUCACCAAGCCGACGAUCCGUAACUGGUCUGAGAGGAUGAUCAGUCAGACUGGAACUGAGACACGGUCCAGACUCCUACGGGAGGCAGCAGUGAGGAAUCUUCCACAAUGGGGGCAACCCUGAUGGAGCAACGCCGCGUGCAGGAUGAAGGCCUUCGGGUUGUAAACUGCUUUUAUUUGUGAAGAAUAUGACGGUAACAAAUGAAUAAGGAUCGGCUAACUACGUGCCAGCAGCCGCGGUCAUACGUAGGAUCCGAGCGUUAUCCGGAGUGACUGGGCGUAAAGAGUUGCGUAGGCGGUUUGUUAAGCGAAUAGUGAAAUCUGGUGGCUCAACCAUACAGACUAUUAUUCGAACUGGCAAACUCGAGAGUAGCAGAGGUAACUGGAAUUUCUAGUGUAGGAGUGAAAUCCGUAGAUAUUAGAAGGAACACCGAUGGCGUAGGCAGGUUACUGGGCUAUUUCUGACGCUAAGGCACGAAAGCGUGGGGAGCGAACCGGAUUAGAUACCCGGGUAGUCCACGCCGUAAACGAUGGAUACUGGCUGUUGGAGGUAUCGACCCCUUCAGUAGCGAAGCUAACGCGUUAAGUAUCCCGCCUGUGGAGUACGGUCGCAAGACUAAAACAUAAAGGAAUUGACGGGGACCCGCACAAGCGGUGGAUCGUGUUCUUUAAUUCGAUGCUAAACGAAGAACCUUACCAGGGCUUGACAUCCAGGGAAUUUUUGGGAAACCAAUUAGUGCCUUUUGGAACCCUGUGACAGGUGAUGCAUGGCCGUCGUCAGCUCGUGUCGUGAGAUGUUUGGUUAAGUCCAUCAACGAGCGCAACCCUUGCAACUAGUUGGAUUUUUCUAGUUGGACUGCUUCGGUAACGGAGA
rnacentral:rRNA from 1 species